UGUAGAUGCUUGCUCACCGAAGAGGAAUUCCUGUUCAUUGGUGUUUUAGGAACCUGUUACAUUCAAGGAUGUGGCCAUGGACUUCACCAAAGAGGAAUGGGGGCAACUAGACUAUGCACAAAGGGCCUUUACAGAGAAGUGAUGCUGGAGAUCUAUGGCAACCUGGUCAUAGUGGGAUUUUGCAAGCCAUCUUGAAUGUUUCCCAAUACUAUUGCUUGGCAAAUAGCAAAAGUAAGCAAAAACAAAGGGAUCCAUUGCCUUAUUUAUCAAGAGCUCUUAGAAAUCAAGAAGAAAAAGCAUGGAAAAUAUGAAGAGACUUGUCAGAGAGAGAUACAAAUGAUCCUUAAAUUUUUGGAAAGGUGUUCUACCUUUCUCAUUAUAUGAGAAAUGAAAAUCAAAACCAUACUGAGACACCAUUUCCUACCUAUCAGGUUAGCAAAAAAUUGAAAAGGUUUUUUUUUGUCUGUUUGUUUUGUUUGUUUGUUUGU
rnacentral:lncRNA from 1 species